GUCUACAGCCAUACUAUCCUGAACACACCCAUCUCGUCUGAUCUCACAAGCUAGGCAGGAUGGGGCCUGGUUAGUACUUGGAUGGGAGAAGUGAAAACUCAGGCUGAGAGC
rnacentral:rRNA from 1 species